rnacentral:rRNA from 1 species
UACGUAGGCAGCAAGCGUUGUUCGGAAUUACUGGGCGUAAAGAGUGUGUAGGUGGUGUCGUAAGUUUGGUGUGAAAUCUCCCGGCUUAACUGGGAGGGUGCGCCGAAGACUGCGAUGCUGGAGUAUGGGAGAGGAAAGCGGAAUUCCUGGUGUAGCGGUGAAAUGCGUAGAUAUGCGGAGGAACACCGAUGGCGAAGGCAAUCCCCUGGGCCUGCACUGACGCUGAGGAGCGAAAGCCAGGGGAGCAAACGGG